AACAUCUCAGCAGUUGGACUAAAUUACUAUUUCAAUGAAAUGUUGAUGUUAUUGGGGAAGAAACUGGGCUAAGUCUUAAGAGAUUAUGGACUAUAGAUGAAAAACAGAAUUGAUAUUGCUUUUGAGAUGACUCAUCGUCAAAGAUUGUAAGCAGUGGAGUUCAAUGUAAUGAACAUUGGUGCGCUACAAAUGCAAAAGAAGUGUGUUAAAAAGAAGUAAAAUCAAUGGACUCUGGCUGCAAAUGGAGUAAUUGGGAAAAAAUUGCACGUUAUGUCAGCAGAUAAUGGACAACAAACAUGAUGGCGAUACAAGUGAAAUUGAAGUGAAACGAUGAUAAUAAUGCUGUUAAUGGUAAUUGUUCAAGGAAAACCAGCCCAGAAUUGAUGUUCAGUGAAUUUGCUUAUGGUAAUAUAGUUAAGAUUAUAGUUUGGCUCCACUAUAAGUAUAAUUGUCAAUCUAAAUAAAGUUGGAAGUUCCCCUUCCUUCCUACUUUAUUUAGAUGAAGUUUAAGUUAAAUGCUUUGUCUGUCAAAAUUGCCCCACACAAUUUUGAUAGAUAAAUGCGAUAAAAUAAUAUUGUAAAUUGUCUUUUGUCAAUAGUUUAAAGUAAUUAUAAUAUCUGUAAUGAUCAUAAUGAACCCGAAUAUGUUUGAAGUAAUAUGAAUAAUUUAAAUAUUUACUGAAUAAUUUGUAUAAUUUGAUGAAUAUGGUGACCU